rnacentral:rRNA from 1 species
UACGUAGGUGGCAAGCGUUGUCCGGAUUUACUGGGCGUAAAGAGCGCGCAGGCGGUCGUUCAAGUCGCGUGUGAAAGCCCCUGGCUCAACUGGGGAAGUGCACCCGAAACUGAGUGGCUUGAGUGCGAAAGAGGGUCGCGGAAUUCCCGGUGUAGAGGUGAAAUUCGUAGAUAUCUGGAGGAACACCGGUGGCGAAGGCGGCAUCCUGGACCGAGAUUGACGCUGAGGCGCGAAAGCCAGGGGAGCAAACGGG